rnacentral:rRNA from 1 species
UACGUAGGGCGCAAGCGUUGUCCGGAAUUAUUGGGCGUAAAGAGCUCGUAGGCGGUCUGUCACGUCGGAUGUGAAAGCCCGGGGCUUAACCCCGGGUCUGCAUUCGAUACGGUCAGACUAGAGUGUGGUAGGGGAGAUCGGAAUUCCUGGUGUAGCGGUGAAAUGCGCAGAUAUCAGGAGGAACACCGAUGGCGAAGGCAGGUCUCUGGGCCACUACUGACGCUGAGAAGCGAAAGCAUGGGGAGCGAACAGG